rnacentral:tRNA from 10 species
GGGCGAUUGGCGCAGUGGUAGCGCGCUUCCCUGACACGGAAGAGGUCACUGGUUCGAACCCAGUAUCGCCCACCA